UACAAGCCGGGGAAUUAGCGGAGCCCUGUACCUGAAAUCCGCUACAGCAGGGGUGUAUUCCUCGUUUGAGGGUCAAACAAAUAUGGUCUUGAGCCGUAUCUCCUGCGUUGAAGAGCUGGUCUUGCGCAAUUGGGAACUGUGAACCAUGUCAGGUGGGGAACCAAGCAGCAUUAAGCAGUGCCCCCGAUGUGCCGUGAGGGCGCCUGCUCCGAGCAGGGGGU
rnacentral:SRP_RNA from 1 species